GACGAACGCUGGCGGCGUGCCUAACACAUGCAAGUCGAGCGGGGAUGUACGAGGAGUAAUCUGAGUGCGUUCCAGCGGCGGACGGGUGAGUAAUGCCUAGGAAUCUGCCUGAUAGUGGGGGAUAACGUCCGGAAACGGACGCUAAUACCGCAUACGUCCUACGGGAGAAAGUGGGGGCUCUUCGGACCUCACGCUAUCAGAUGAGCCUAGGUCGGAUUAGCUAGUUGGUGAGGUAAUGGCUCACCAAGGCGACGAUCCGUAACUGGUCUGAGAGGAUGAUCAGUCACACUGGAACUGAGACACGGUCCAGACUCCUACGGGAGGCAGCAGUGGGGAAUAUUGGACAAUGGGCGAAAGCCUGAUCCAGCCAUGCCGCGUGUGUGAAGAAGGUCUUCGGAUUGUAAAGCACUUUAAGUUGGGAGGAAGGGUCGUUACCUAAUACGUGGCGAUUUUGACGUUACCGACAGAAUAAGCACCGGCUAACUCUGUGCCAGCAGCCGCAGUAACAC
rnacentral:rRNA from 1 species